rnacentral:rRNA from 1 species
UGGGGAAUCUUGGACAAUGGGCGCAAGCCUGAUCCAGCCAUGCCGCGUGAGUGACGAAGGCCUUAGGGUUGUAAAGCUCUUUUGGCGGGGACGAUAAUGACGGUACCCGCAGAAUAAGUCCCGGCUAACUUCGUGCCAGCAGCCGCGGUAAUACGAAGGGGACUAGCGUUGUUCGGAAUUACUGGGCGUAAAGCGCACGUAGGCGGAUUUGUUAGUCAGGGGUGAAAUCCCGGGGCUCAACCUCGGAACUGCCUUUGAUACUGCAAGUCUUGAGUCCGGAAGAGGUGAGUGGAAUUCCUAGUGUAGAGGUGAAAUUCGUAGAUAUUAGGAAGAACACCAGUGGCGAAGGCGGCUCACUGGUCCGGUACUGACGCUGAGGUGCGAAAGCGUGGGGAGCAAACA